AUGCUCGAGCUGCAGAUGUUGAGUGGGGAACUUGUUUCACCUUUGUCGAUGGAGCAACUCAAGUUGGACUCUCCCCAGGCUUCGGAGGUGGACUUGGUGUCCUCACCACCCCCCAUGGAGCCUUGUCAGGCGUCAAACAGCCUACCUCUCGACGUCAUGGAGAGCGGCGUUUUAGAUGCUGUCGUCGUUCCCUCGUCUGUGACCAUCGGGCAGGUGAUGCCUGUGAGUGGCAUGACCACGGAGCCACUUGUGUUGGCACCUACCCCAAAUUCAAAUGCUCUCUUCGCGAAGGAACUUUGUGACUUGCCAGUGUUGAAGUUGCUAGACCUGGUUUAG
rnacentral:rRNA from 1 species